UACGGAGGAUGCGAGCGCUAUCCGGAUUUAUUGGGUUUAAAGGGUGCGUAGGCGGAUCGUUAAGUCAGUGGUCAAAUUGAGGGGCUCAACCCCUUCCCGCCAUUGAAACUGGCGAUCUUGAGUGGAAGAGAAGUAUGCGGAAUGCGUGGUGUAGCGGUGAAAUGCAUAGAUAUCACGCAGAACCCCGAUUGCGAAGGCAACAUGCCGGCUUCCUACUGACGCUGAAGCACGGAAGCGUGGGGAUCGAACAGG
rnacentral:rRNA from 1 species